ACCUACCAUUAACAUUUUUAACAUGAAUCAAACAAGCUUUCGAGCUAGACUUUGACUAACUGUUAUCAAGUCUUAUCGGUGGAUCACUCGGUUCGUAGUUCGAUGAAAAACGGGGCAAAAACCGUUAUUUGGCGUGAAUUGCAGACAUAUUGAAC
rnacentral:rRNA from 1 species